UUUAUUAAAUUAUCAUAUGCAAUGAAUUAAUUUUAGAAAUUAAAAAAGUAAUAAAU
rnacentral:tRNA from 1 species